CUUGAACUUCAGGUGUGUUCGUGGAUGCAAAGGCAGAAAUUUGUGGCCCCAGGUCCUUUCCUAACAGGACCUCUGCUCGUAGAUCCUUCAUCACCCUAACGUCCACUAUACUAGCUCCUGCAUCCCAAUCUAGAUGUACCCAGGCAGUAGGUAGUCAGUAAAUGGCUCACCCGGUUACCUGAACAGCAACAAACUUCCCAGGACAGUCUGUGCUACCGAUCAAGUGUCAUUGGAUAAGGGUGAUGGUUGCUCCAGUGUCUCUUAGGCCAUGGGAGGUCUGUCCGUUGACCAAAACCAACUGCCUGUGGUGUUCUAGGUUGUCGAUGGUGGCUGCCUGCACUGGGUCAGCUUCAUGAAGUGACCCUAGCGGUUCUUCUUGGCCCAGUUCAGUAGCAUCCCAGGCUCGGGAACUAGUGGUGUCCAUGCAUUGUGCAGCGCCCCGGGGACUAUGGGUUUCCUGGCCGGUUCCAGUUAGGUGAAGGAGGGGCCAGGGGACAAUUAUUGCAAAUGUGACCUAUUUGUUAACAGUGGAAAAAACUGGAUCCGGUCUUUUGUUGAGGUACAUAAACAUCAAGAGUGGGUCGUGAGGGAGGGUGAUAGUUCCCUCCUGUUGUCAGUAGUACUAGUUCAAUCUUGGGGGUUGGACUGGUCCAGCUUGCAGGCAUCCGUGUAUUCGUCCGCUAACCUGGCUGCCUCUGGAAGAGUAAGGGGUCUGCGGUCUCUCACCCAGUCUUUGACUUCAGGAUGUACCAAAUUAAAAAAAUAUUGAGACCUGAGUGGGGAUGUACCGAAGGGCAAGCUAUUGAGUCUCUCUAAGUUUUUGUCCGUUUCUUUCAUCCUUUCUUUUUUACCAAUUUAAAGAAAAUGUU